rnacentral:rRNA from 1 species
GGUUGAUCCUGCCAGUAGUCAUAUGCUUGUCUUAAAGACUAAGCCAUGCAUGUCUAAGUAUAAGUAUUAUACAGCGAAACUGCGAAUGGCUCAUUAAAACAGUUAUAGUUUAUUCGAUUAUUUGCCCCUACAUGGAUAACCGUAGUAAUUCUAGAGCUAAUACAUGCUGUCAAACCUGACUUUCGUGGAAAGGUUGUAUUUAUUAGAUAUAAACCAAUACCUCGCAAGAGGGAUUGUGAUGAUUCAUAAUAACUGAGCGGAUCGCGACUCUGUCGCGACGAAUCGUUCAAGUU